rnacentral:rRNA from 1 species
CGUAGGGGGCGAGCGUUGUCCGGAUUUAUUGGGCGUAAAGAGCUCGUAGGCGGUUCGAUAAGUCGGAUGUGAAAUCUCCACGCUCAACGUGGAGGGGCCAUUCGAUACUGUCGUGACUCGAGUCCGGUAGGGGAGUGUGGAAUUCCCGGUGUAGCGGUGAAAUGCGCAGAGAUCGGGAGGAACACCCGUAGCGAAGGCGGCACUCUGGGCCGGUACUGACGCUGAGGAGCGAAAGCGUGGGGAGCAAACAGGAUUAGAUACCCUGGUAGUCCACGCCGUAAACGUUGGGCACUAGGUGUGGGACUCUAUCGACGGGUUCCGUGCCGUAGCUAACGCAUUAAGUGCCCCGCCUGGGGAGUACGGCCGCAAGGCUA